UGCAUGUGAAAUAUUAAAGUUUCUUUGAGUCUUUUGAUCAUAUUUUUAUGAUUAUUUGAUGUUGGAUUGUGUUUUGAGGCUUUAGAAAGUGAGUUUGGUUUUGUUUUGUUUGUUUUGAUAUGUUAAGUUGCUGCUGAAUUGAGCUAGGGAAUUAUAGAAAUUCCCAAGUUCAAUUGUCGAAAGUCUUCAUUUUGGUAACCGAAGCCACUAUUAUCCCUUAGGGACUUUUUAUGCUAUAGACUUUAAUAGCUGAAGUUUCCCACUUCAGUAGCCAAAGUUUCUCACUUCACCAGCCGAAGUAGCUACUGUUAGUUUAUGUUAUGGACUUCAACAGCCGAAACCCGAAGGUUCGACAACUGAAGUUGUUUCUGCCAGCAACUUUCCUCUUUUGAUUUUUAGGCUCUGAAACCUAUUUUUUUUUGUAAUGUAAUAACUUAUAAUCAAGGAUUCAUGUUCUUAAUAUGAUCUUAGGGAGUCUGAG
rnacentral:misc_RNA from 1 species